rnacentral:lncRNA from 7 species
AAUCAGGCAAAAAUCUCAUCGACAGAGGUCACAGAAUUUGGUUUCCAGGGUUUAAAUGGACAUUUCCAAAUGAUGUGUGUUCUAAAGCCUUCAUCCUUCUUAUUGUAUGGCAAAGAUAUAUUCUAUGUGCAAAAUGAAAGACAGCUGUUUCUUCUAGCCAGAAUGAUAACUUCAUCCACUUCAACAAGUCAUCCCAUAACAAAAGAUGAACGUAUUCAUGGUCACGUUGCAGAGAGAUGGCACACUACAGAGCAGCAUGCAAUAUCAGCUUUCUCUGGGCUGAGAAAGUGUGAUCAAACUGCAGUUGUUGACUAUCCACAACAAGAGUACAUUUCAUCUAAAACAAAUAACUAUGACCCACCGCUGGCAGAUGGUGCACAGCAUAUCGUUCUGCUAUUAAAAGCUAAGGAAUUUUAAAGAGCUAAGUACAACUGUGUGGCUUGCUCUUCGCUGCCUUCCCAUUGCUUCUGCAACACUGGCUUGUCUUGUUUCUUUUUAAAUUUUGCUUACUUUACUUUUUUUUCUAUUUAACUCUGUAUGUAGCUUUAUCUUUUCUUUAGCUUCUUUAGCACUUUAAGUCCACUGCACUACUUCCAAAGAGUUAGUAUUAACUUCCCUAGCUAUUGCAUUAAGUUGUAUGUGCUUGAACACUCUGAACUUCCAUCUGUAUUUGACUUCAUAAACUUCACUGGAUUUUAGGCAGAUACAGAAUUUAAUUAUGCUCUUAAGUGUUUUUUUUAGUGUCUUUGUGGACACAAAACCAUGUCACAAUAGAGUAGACAAGACUAGGAAUUUGUAGGCAGUUAGUUGGUUACUCACUAGUGACUGACUGUAAGCAUAUUCUCAUUAUUCAUAGUCUCUUGUUGUAUAUUUUCAUUAUACAUAGUCUUUGUCUUCAACUAUUUAAUAAAGAGCAACUGAUCUACUGGUAAUUUGCACUCUAGAAUAACACAAACUAGUAUGUAUACCAAAAGUGAAUUAUGUGAACGAGCUGAUUUUGUUGAGUAUUAAAUUU